UCUGAGUCACGCCAACACUGCCUGAAUCCGAGUCGGGGUGGCCUAAGUGGCACCCCAGAAUACGAUUGCAUGCUACGAGUCAAAGGAGGAAAAGUAACAAGACCAAGUUCCGUUCCUGCAGGUCUUCGUUGCAGCAUUAUUUUUUAGUGGAAACAUGGAAACUCCGAAUGUUCCCCUCCAGGGUAGCUAGGUCAACCGCAAUGCAGCUGGCCUUUCUAGCUCCUCUCCAGACAUGCUACUUGUGAGUGAACGGCAGGACCACCUUUCCUAGGUGCAGAAGAACUGGGGUGAGAGCUUUUGGUGCAGGG